GAAGCCGCCGGGAGAAAGAAACGAAGGCAGCAACACUCCUCCUCCUCCUCCGGCCGGCUCCCUCCGCAGCGCACGUCUCCCUCUCCCCCCACCUCCGCCUUCUCCCUCCGCCGCGGGCUACACCGAUCAGGAAGCGAGCGUCUAGGGUUUUCCGAUGGAGCCCGCGGCCUCCGCCUCCUCCUCGUCGUCAUCGGAGAGGCGGAGGGCGGAGCCGGAGGCCGCGGAGCUGAGGCUGCGGCGGAAGACGCUCGAGACCGUGCUGGAGCAGUGCCAGCGCGCGCUCGAGCUCAUGCGCGAGCCAGACGACGAUCUCCCGCCCGGCGACGCCUUGCCGGGGGCGGGGGAUCCGGACGACGCGGAGGGCGCCGGCGACGGGGAAGGGCUUCCCACGACGCCGCCGUCCGACGCCGACUACGAGACCGACGAGCUGUGCAAUCUUCUCAAAUCGAGGGUCGGAUCGCCUGAAUUCCUUCAAAAGCUAGACAACAUUCAGAAGUCGGUAUACCAAAAUGGUGCAGCAGUAGAUGAAACCAUAUCAUGGGAUAUCGUAAGCGCCGCAGAUAUAUGGGAUGACAAGAAUAUGAACGUCAGUGAUGAUUCAGAGGAUGGAUAUGUGCUCGUUAAGCAGGAGGAUAUUGUUGAUGGGAUUGCGUGCUUCAUGGCUGCAUACUUGCUCUCACUCAAGGAAACUAAGGAAUUGACGCCCAAUCAACUUCAAGAUGCCCUUAGCAAGACAUUUUCAACUAAAAAGAGAAAAGGGAAACUUCAGAAGGCAUGGGCUGGAACACAGGUGCAGCGGUAGAGCCUCACCGCCUGUGACUGAGAGGUCCCAGGUUCGAGUCGCGGUCUCCUCACAUUGCACUACGUGAGGGUAAGGCUUGCCACUAACACCUUCCCCAGACCCCGCACAGUGCGGGAGCUCUCAGCACUGGGUACGUCCAGCGUCAUAGAGUGCGACAGCUAUUGGUAUCUACCAGAAUCCGGCAAUUCUAAAAGCGGCAACUGCAGCCUUUUGGACAUCCUGCCGCGUGGUAUCCAAGUUCCUGUGAAUAGUCCCAUGUCCUGUGCUCGUGAUCAUGUACACAUUGUGUGUUAUGACUUCCCUAUACUUCCAUCACGGGAAGUGUUGUUUUCAAACACUGUGAUAUGCCUGUUCUGCCAUGUGACUGCCGAAGUCCUUCGCAAGCUUCACCCGUAGGCUCAUAGGCUGCUUUCAACAGUUAGAUCAUGUGCCAGAUCUAACCACAUACUGUCUAGUGAUGAUCAUGUGGGGGCUGAUUCCUAGUAUCUGAUGUACCUGUUUAGUGCAGCUUCAUGUGUGUUUACUUAUAUCAUUCAUUUGUAUCCGACCCCUGAUUGCUACCUCCUCCUUGUAUAUAUCAGAUGUACAACCGAACAUGGGCAUACCUGGCCAAAUGUAAAUACACCAAUUCGUUUGAGCUUC